CAAGUCGUGGGGCAGCAUGUCCCGCAGCAAUGCGGGAUGAUGGCGACCGGCAAACGGGUGCGGAACACGUACACAACCUUCCUUUUAGUGGAGAAUAGCCCAGGGAAACUUGGAUUAAUACUCCGUAACAUAUAGAAGUGGCAUCACUUUUAUAUUAUAGCAGCAAUGCGCUAGAAGAUGGGUGUGCGGCUGAUUAGAUAGUUGGCGGGGUAACGGCCCACCAAGUCGACGAUCAGUAACUGGUGUGAGAGCACGACCAGUCACACGGGCACUGAGACACGGGCCCGACUCCUACGGGAGGCAGCAGUAAGGAAUAUUGGUCAAUGGACGCAAGUCUGAACCAGCCAUGCCGCGUGGAGGAUGAAGGUCCUCUGGAUUGUAAACUUCUUUUAUUUGGGAAGAAACCCAUCUUUUCUAAGAUGGUUGACGGUACCAGAUGAAUAAGCACCGGCUAACUCCGUGCCAGCAGCCGCGGUAAUACGGAGGGUGCAAGCGUUAUCCGGAUUCACUGGGUUUAAAGGGUGCGUAGGUGGGCAAGUAAGUCAGUGGUGAAAUCUCCGGGCUUAACCCGGAAACUGCCAUUGAUACUAUUUGUCUUGAAUACUGUGGAGGUCAGCGGAAUAUGUCAUGUAGCGGUGAAAUGCUUAGAUAUGACAUAGAACACCAAUUGCGAAGGCAGCUGGCUACACAAAUAUUGACACUGAGGCACGAAAGCGUGGGGAUCAAACAGGAUUAGAUACCCUGGUAGUCCACGCCCUAAACUAUGGAUACUCGACAUUUGCGAUAAACUGCAAGUGUCUGAGCGAAAGCAUUAAGUAUCCCACCUGGGAAGUACGAUCGCAAGAUUGAAACUCAAAGGAAUUGGCGGGGGUCCGCACAAGCGGUGGAGCAUGUGGUUUAAUUC
rnacentral:rRNA from 1 species